GAUGAACGCUCGCGAUAGGCUUAACACAUGCAAGUCGAGGGGCAGCAUGGUCUUAGCUUGCUAAGACUGAUGGCGACCGGCGCACGGGUGCGUAACGCGUAUGCAACUUGCCUCACAGAGGGGGAUAACCCGUCGAAAGACGGACUAAUACCGCGUACACUUGGGAUAGGGCAUCCUGACCCAAGGAAAUGAAAUUCGCUGUGAGAUAGGCAUGCGUCCCAUUAGCUAGUUGGUGAGGUAACGGCUCACCAAGGCGACGAUGGGUAGGGGAACUGAGAGGUUGAACCCCCACACUGGUACUGAGACACGGACCAGACUCCUACGGGAGGCAGCAGUGAGGAAUAUUGGUCAAUGGGCGAGAGCCUGAACCAGCCAAGUCGCGUGAAGGAUGACUGUCUUAUGGAUGGUAAACUUCUUUUAUACGGGAAUAACAAGAGCCACGUGUGGCUCCCUGCAUGUACCGUAUGAAUAAGCAUCGGCUAACUCCGUG
rnacentral:rRNA from 1 species